UACGUAGGGGGCGAGCGUUGUCCGGAUUUAUUGGGCGUAAAGAGCUCGUAGGCGGUUUGGCAAGUCGGUUGUGAAAACUCCGGGCUCAACUCGGAGACGCCACUCGAUACUGCCAUGACUCGAGUCCGGUAGGGGAGUGCGGAAUUCCUGGUGUAGCGGUGAAAUGCGCAGAUAUCAGGAGGAACACCGGUGGCGAAGGCGGCACUCUGGGCCGGUACUGACGCUGAGACGCGAAAGCGUGGGGAGCGAACAGG
rnacentral:rRNA from 1 species